rnacentral:rRNA from 1 species
GACGAACGCUGGCGGCGUGCCUAACACAUGCAAGUCGAACGGAAAGGCCCUGCUCUUGUGGGGUGCUUGAUUGGCGAACGGGUGAGUAACACGCGUGUAACCUGCCCUUGUCUUUGGGAUAACAUCAGGAAACUGGGGCUAAUACCGGAUAUGAGCUCCUGCUCCAUGGGGGGGAUUGGAAAGUUUCGGCGGUGGGGGAUGGACUAGCGGCUUAUGAGCUGGUUGGUGGAGUAGUGGCUUACCAAGGCUUUGACGGAUAGCCGGCCUGAGAGGGUGACCGGGCUCAAUAGGACUGAGGUACGGACCAGACUGCUACGGGAGGCAACGGUGGGGAGUAUUGCACAGUGGGCCGAAGCCUGAUACGACGACGCCGCGUGCGGGAUGCCGGCCUUCGGGGUGUGAACCGCUUUCGCCUGUGACGAAGCGUGAGUGACGGUAAUGGGUAAAGAAGCACCGGCUAACUACGUG